GAUGAACGCUAGCUACAGGCUUAACACAUGCAAGUCGAGGGGCAGCAUGGUCUUAGCUUGCUAAGGCCGAUGGCGACCGGCGCACGGGUGAGUAACACGUAUCCAACCUGCCGUCUACUCUUGGACAGCCUUCUGAAAGGAAGAUUAAUACAAGAUGGCAUCAUGAGUCCGCAUGUUCACAUGAUUAAAGGUAUUCCGGUAGACGAUGGGGAUGCGUUCCAUUAGAUAGUAGGCGGGGUAACGGCCCACCUAGUCUUCGAUGGAUAGGGGUUCUGAGAGGAAGGUCCCCCACAUUGGAACUGAGACACGGUCCAAACUCCUACGGGAGGCAGCAGUGAGGAAUAUUGGUCAAUGGGCGUAGGCCUGAACCAGCCAAGUAGCGUGAAGGAUGACUGCCCUAUGGGUUGUAAACUUCUUUUAGAAAGGAAUAAAGUCGGGUAUGUAUACCCGUUUGCAUGUACUUUAUGAAUAAGGAUCGGCUAACUCCGUG
rnacentral:rRNA from 1 species